UACGUAGGUGGCAAGCGUUGUCCGGAUUUACUGGGCGUAAAGAGCGCGCAGGCGGCUGGUCAAGUCCGAUGUGAAAUCUCCCGGCUUAACUGGGAAACUGCAUCGGAAACUGAUCGGCUUGAAGGUGGGAGAGGGUAGUGGAAUUCCCGGUGUAGUGGUGAAAUGCGUAGAGAUGUGGAGGAACACCAAUGGCGAAGGCAGCCUUCUGGGCCAACACUGACGCUCAUGCACGAAAGCGUGGGGAGCAAACAGG
rnacentral:rRNA from 1 species